UUGCUCCCUGAUGUUAGCGGCGGACGGGUGAGUAACACGUGGGUAACCUGCCUGUAAGACUGGGAUAACUCCGGGAAACCGGGGCUAAUACCGGAUGGUUGUUUGAACCGCAUGGUUCAGACAUAAAAGGUGGCUUCGGCUACCACUUACAGAUGGACCCGCGGCGCAUUAGCUAGUUGGUGAGGUAACGGCUCACCAAGGCGACGAUGCGUAGCCGACCUGAGAGGGUGAUCGGCCACACUGGGACUGAGACACGGCCCAGACUCCUACGGGAGGCAGCAGUAGGGAAUCUUCCGCAAUGGACGAAAGUCUGACGGAGCAACGCCGCGUGAGUGAUGAAGGUUUUCGGAUCGUAAAGCUCUGUUGUUAGGGAAGAACAAGUGCCGUUCAAAUAGGGCGGCACCUUGACGGUACCUAACCAGAAAGCCACGGCUAACUACGUGCCAGCAGCCGCGGUAAUACGUAGGUGGCAAGCGUUGUCCGGAAUUAUUGGGCGUAAAGGGCUCGCAGGCGGUUUCUUAAGUCUGAUGUGAAAGCCCCCGGCUCAACCGGGGAGGGUCAUUGGAAACUGGGGAACUUGAGUGCAGAAGAGGAGAGUGGAAUUCCACGUGUAGCGGUGA
rnacentral:rRNA from 2 species